CGGGACUGGCGGGGCUCGAACCCGCAGCUUCCGCC
rnacentral:tRNA from 2 species